rnacentral:rRNA from 1 species
AACGAACGCUGGCGGCAUGCCUAACACAUGCAAGUCGAACGAGACCUUCGGGUCUAGUGGCGCACGGGUGCGUAACGCGUGGGAACCUGCCCUUAGGUUCGGAAUAACUCCCCGAAAGGGGUGCUAAUACCGGAUAAUGUCUUCGGACCAAAGAUUUAUCGCCUUUGGAUGGGCCCGCGUUGGAUUAGCUAGUUGGUAGGGUAAAAGCCUACCAAGGCGACGAUCCAUAGCUGGUCUGAGAGGAUGAUCAGCCACACUGGGACUGAGGCACGGCCCAGACUCCUACGGGAGGCAGCAGUGGGGAAUAUUGGACAAUGGGCGAAAGCCUGAUCCAGCAAGGCCGCGUGAGUGAUGAAGGCCUUAGGGUUGUAAAGCUCUUUUACCCGGGAUGAUAAUGACAGUACCGGGAGAAUAAGCUCCGGCUAACUCCGU